GAGCUCAGGUCCCCACCCAGCUGGUCCACGAUGGCACCCUUAGACAUGUAGUACCUGCCACAAAAAGAGAAGGAUACAGAAGAGGAAUGGGUCACCGUCCACGGUAUGACCUUUUCCAACCGUUACUAUGGAGGUUUCCUCUGCCUUCGGUGCGCAGGUGUAUUCUAGCGGUCCCUAGGUGGUGGUCAUUUGUUCUGUGGUGCAUCAGUGUUGGUGAGGCGAAAGGUCUGAGCGGUUAUUGAUGGCAGCCCAGUGCAGGAGGGUGACGUUCUCCUUAUCCGGCUGUCUGACGUCAUAUCCUGCCUCCACCAGCUCCUUACAGCGAUCCAACACGCCAAACCUAGAACAAACACAGGCCAUGAGCUGCCACGCCUUGGGCCUGUUUCAAGUAGCAGGUGGAAAGCACUUCAAUCGAUCACCGAUUGUAUAGAACCUGAAAGAUGCGUGCAUACAUGAGAGGAUUCAAAAGCCAUCAUCAAUCGCACCCUGAAAACGGGAUCGCUCAGGGAGCUCCCAAGCCGUCGUUAAUAUUUCAGUGAUUCGAUUAGUUGAAGCCUCAGACCUGAUCUCUCAUUUGCAUAAGGUCACAACUGAAAGGCUGUCUCUGUGAAACUAGUGGAGGCCUAUUUAGCGUUCGCCCGACUGUUCAUUUUUAACUUGAUGAGAAUAACAAAAAGUGUGUCAUAGUAGUACAAAGAUUAUUAUUAUUUAUUUAUUUUAGAAGACAAGUGACACUCUAAUAUACUAUACAGCUUACUGUGGUGAAAUACGUUGAACAUGCGUCAAUUUGCUCCAUCCAUUCCACUUUUUCUAUCCUAGGCUAGGUAUUGUGGGUGCAUGGUUUUGUUUAGGUGGGAUAUGUAUGUAUACAUGUGUUGUGUUGUGUAUGUAUGCUGGCUUCUGGAACAACCUACAUUUCUCUGCUGAGAUGAAUAAAGUAUAUCUUAUCUUACCUUA